rnacentral:rRNA from 1 species
AUUGAACGCUGGCGGCAGGCCUAACACAUGCAAGUCGAGCGGAUGAAGGGAGCUUGCUCCUGGAUUCAGCGGCGGACGGGUGAGUAAUGCCUAGGAAUCUGCCUGGUAGUGGGGGAUAACGUCCGGAAACGGGCGCUAAUACCGCAUACGUCCUGAGGGAGAAAGUGGGGGAUCUUCGGACCUCACGCUAUCAGAUGAGCCUAGGUCGGAUUAGCUAGUUGGUGGGGUAAAGGCCUACCAAGGCGACGAUCCGUAACUGGUCUGAGAGGAUGAUCAGUCACACUGGAACUGAGACACGGUCCAGACUCCUACGGGAGGCAGCAGUGGGGAAUAUUGGACAAUGGGCGAAAGCCUGAUCCAGCCCUGCCGCGUGUGUGAAGACGGUCUUCGGAUUGUAAAGCCCUUUAAGUUGGGAGGAAGGGCAGUAAGUUAAUACCUUGCUGUUUUGACGUUACCAACAGAAUAAGCACCGGCUAACUUCGUG